rnacentral:lncRNA from 1 species
UUAGCUCCGGUGAGAACCUGCUUUCCUGAACCAGGGGAACGCAUCCGGCAAGCACAAUAGGUUGGCAAGCACAAUAGGUUGUGGUGCAUCUAGAGGGCGGUGUUCAUAUCAAUCGGUGGUGUUCGAUUGUCUAUUAGGGCAGUGGGAAGGUUGUUUUCGCUGUGUCAUUCAAUGGAUACUUCUUGCCAAGUUUUUAGGGAUGGUCAUCGGGCGGUAUGAUGGUGAGUUUGCGGGUUCUGGCGAGGCAGUGAUUGACCAAGAUAAUUUGAAAACUUUCUGUGGUCAUAAAGUAUAGAUGUGGAACUCCAGGAACUGCCAAGAAGAAAGGAAUAACAUGACCAGGAACAUACAUUCAAGAACUGAAGUGUUCAUAGUAAUUAAGAUAGUCGUAGAGUAUUAUUGGCG